AGCGACAGAGGGUGGUGCAACCAGACAACGCCCUCGCCUUUUACUAGGGCGUUCCGUGUUCUACCCUCAUGUCAAUGUCGCUACUGCAAUUUUUCAGAAUCACUGAACCUUCGUAGUU
rnacentral:snRNA from 1 species